GUGUUGCAAAGCCGACACGAGUGUCCUGCGGAUGCUCUGCUGGAGAUGUGAGCGCCCUGGAGCAGACGAGGAGGAGGAAGGGACGGUGUCCAGCCCCGCGCUGCCGAGAGACCCAAGCUGGAGCAGCAGAGGAGGAGGGGAUGGUUCCCUGCCCCGGGGCUGGGCAGCCCCAUCAGCCGAGCUCCAGUGCUUCCAUGAGCACCCGACUUGAAGCUGCCGGGAGCUGCUGAGCAUCAACCCCUGCCCGAGGCUGCCCAGCCCCUGGAUGUGUGAGACACCCCAGUGUCAGCCAGGGAAACUGAGUGACAAUGAACCUUGUUUGCUGCCACACUAGAUCCCAGGGAGCCCGACUGGCAACACGGCCACUGGCAAGACUCCCUUUGAAUGCAGGUUGGUGGGUGAUCUGCACCCUGCUCCUUGGAACACGGCUGAAGAUGGAGUCUGGAGGGUUUAAGCACAGGAAUGAAGAAUCCAAACGCUCCCUGCGUGCGGCUUUAGCAGAUUAAUUCAUUCUAGCUCCAGCGACUGCUUCCCCUCCCCUCCAAGGAGGUGCUCUCGUUAUUUUUAGAAGGAAUCUAAAACAAAACCCAAAAAAAGGACAUUGGCGAGGACAAUGAGGCUGGCAACGGGUCACCUAUGAGAGUGCUGAGGCAAUAUUGCUACUUGGUUAUCCCCCCUGGGCCCAUAAAUCCCUCUCCAUGUCUGACCUCUUUCCGGACACUUUCCAGCUGUUGCUGAGGAUCCUUAUUUGGGUACUUUUCCCAAAAGACACAUGUGGUUCUUUGUUCAGAACUUUGUGAUGAUUCAAAUGACCACUCAGUCCUGGUAAUUUAAAACAAGACCUGCAGCCAGCACGAGGCUUCCCGAGCUCAGGAAGCAGCUGGACACAUGGGCGCUGGGAGCGGAUUUCCGUCCAAGCUGAUGAUUCAUGAGCCGUGGUGCUCAGCCAGCAGGGUCACCACCAGGUUCCUGAGGAGCUUCCUCUGCUGGAGACAGGUUCCCCUGGCCCUGCCACCCCUUGUCCUCACCCUCAGCUUCUCCUGGAGCUUUAGCAGAGAGCAGGACUGUACAAAACCCACCAAAGGGGGGAUGGCUCAACUGUGUUGGCUGCUGCCAAUCUAGUGCUCUUCAGCUGGCCUGGGGAAAAUUAGUAAUCUGAUAAGAGAGGGCAACCCACAUGUUGUUAGUGCUUUUGGUUCUGUUAGUUCUCAGGGACCUGGAUAUUGACCAGAACAUUUGGGCAGGAUAGAGGUGAUGACCCCAAACCGGCCCCACCAGCAAAGCCAAACCUGCUGACCUGAAGGCUCCUCUCUGAGUGUCUCUGUGCCCACCAGGUCUCUUCAGGGACUCUUUAGUCCGAGCUCAAGGCAGGGACUUGCCAGCUGGGCAUUAUUCAUUGUAGUGAAGUGGUGGUAGGCCAAAAUAAAUCACUUUCCAUGUCACAUAAAUUGGGAGAUGGAAAAUACCAUUUAGGUCAUACGGUUCAUCGGGUCCUGCCAGUGCAGGGCUGCUCCCGACAGCACAUUUUCCACAGCUUUUUUCCUGUCCACUUUGAAUGACUCAAGCCCAAGAGCUCCACCACCCUCCCCCCAAGACCUUCCGUGGCUCACAGGACUCCACGUGAGGACAUUUUCCUCUGCUCUGCAUGGAAACUUUCCUUUGCUAAAUGUCAUCCCAUGACUCCCGCCGUGGCCCACCCUGGAUUAUUCCACCCUUUCGCUGCUAUUUACCACCCUUGGCUGUCACUCCGUACCCAUCACCACUGGGUCUGGGUGCUUCUGAUCUUGCAGGUCUGUCCCACCAUAAAGAGAAGGCAGCGUGGUGCCUGGGCAUGGAGAGGUGGCCACGAGGACACCUUGGGCAAACCAGCCUCUGUCCAUGCCUCACACAGACAAACCCAGACAGGCUCUACAUUAACCAAGUGAAGUGACCAGCGUGGGAGGGCUGGUCUAGAAGAGUCCAAAUGCUUGAUACCCACCAAAAUUCUUUACUGAAAGAGUAGUCAGGUGCUGGGAGGGACUGCCCAGGGAGGUGGUGGAGUCACCAUCCCUGGAGGUGUUUAAAAACCAAGUAGGUGAGGCAUUUCAGGACAUGCUCUAGUGGGCUUAAUUUUUUUUUUUGUGGGGAGGAGCUGGGAACAGUUGGACACAGUGGGCUUAGAGGUCUUUUCCAACCAUGACACUUCUGUGAAAAAGAAAAUCCGUGGCUUGAACUGCUGUAAAUGAUGAGGAAACUUAGGGAAUGGUCUUCAUCAUGCUUGGAAGUCUGGUGACAUUCGUGGGACGUGUUUUCUGGUUGUGAGUGAAAGUGUGCCCAGACAUAACCUGCUUCCAGCUGCCUGUCCUGAUUAUGCUGCAGGUGUGUGGGCUCCAGCAGAAAGCCUGUGCUUGGGGACACGGUUUAGUGGUGGCCUUGGCAGUGCUGGGUUAAUGGUAGGACUGGGUGAUCUUAAAGGACUUUUCCAACCCAAAUGAUUCUGUGAUUCUCUUUGUAAAACUAAGGUGGGGGUCGGGAUGCUGUGGCUGCCCGUGGACACCCACACACCAGCUGGAUGAACCGUUAGUUUUAUGCCCAAACCAACAGAAGCUUGGCCUCUAAUUCUCUCCUUCAGCACGACGUGGUGCUCUUGUCACAAACCAGAAGCACUCACCAACAUGCCCAAGUGCCCUGAGGUGACAGGGGUGCCCAGGGUCCCUGGGGAAGAGCUGAGAGCAGGGCCACCCCAGCUCUGGGCUGCUUCUCCUCUUCUGAGAACGCCCAGUAUUAACUACUUCAUUCCAUCUUUGGUCUGUUUUUUAUAAUGUGUGUGGAAAAGGGCUGGCCCUCUGGUUGUCUUGUGGUCAAAGUGCUUCCAGAGCAGACCAGGGCACCCUCACAAACCCCUCCGUGCUGACCCAGCUGCCUCGUUAUCUUCUUUUGAACUUUGUCCAAAAGUCGUUUGCAUCAUUAAAGACCUUUCACACCCCAGUGGCUGCCGCUGCCUUUCUUCCUGCGCAGCAAUUAACUUCUUCUUUAUACAAAACUCCUUCUUUAACUCUCGCACCAACGAGUUCGGGGGCUUUGAAGCGUUUCCAGCCGCAGCCGCAGCUCUGACCUCCCUGCACCGGCUCCGGGGAAGGGUUUUCAGCCCCGACUCACACAAGGAAUCGUUUUCCUGCCCCGGGAGAGGUUAAGCUUUCCACAAAGAAGGAAACGAAAAGUGAAACUUUCCAGCUUUGCUGCGGUGAAAUCCUGCGUGCUCAGCCUUUCGGUUUGAAGUCCAGCUCCUUUUGGUUUUACCAUCAUGAAAGUCACUAACUCAAUGCUGUAUUUUUUUUAACGAACAGAAAAAUUUGCGCAUUUUAAAUACACAUUUAAACGCUCAGCACUGCCAAAGCAGGGUCAUCUGCCAACUUGAAAACACCGAGUCAUUUUUUGAAACUGGGAGGCUCCCCAAAACACUUUCCUGUAAAUCUGUGGGUUUGAGGAACCAGCAAAUCCAGGUUUUCUGUGUUCAACGGGCUCUGUGUCACCACUCGUGGGCUCUUGACGUUUAGAAAUCAAUUGAUGUUUAGAGGAAACAAAACUCUGCCCAGCCCACCGAGCAGCCCCCGUCACCCCACACCCUGUUCAAUGAACAAAGGAACUGGAGAGCAAGAGGUGGCCCCAGCCUGCAGGGUGACAGGGGACUGCCCUUUUAGCCUCUUGGGUUUCAGGUUCUGACUCACCCAAAAAAAAGAGAAUCAUUAAAUCUGGUUUUUGAAGAGGUCACUCAGGGCUCAGACCUGAGAAAGGGACCUUUUCUGGUUGAAGCAGAUAAGGGCUGAAACAACUUCUGCAUUAGCACACCCCUGCUGUUCCUGAUUUUCUCUUGUGUGUGACAGCAGGGGAGGAUAAAUCGAGCCCCAAGCACACUGUCAGUUUGUUCCUGGGUUGUGGGGCUGGGCUGACACUGCAGAGCCAGACAAGCCCCUGAUGACACCAAUGACAAGGACCUGCUUUCGGUUCUCACCCUGCUCCACCUUCCAGAGCUGACUGCCCAGAUCAGCCCCAUGCUUCAAAACCUCAC